GCAACGCGAAGAACCUUACCAGGUCUUGUACAUCCCGAUGCUAUUUCUAGAGAUAGAAAGUUACUUCGGUACAUCGGUGACAGGUGGUGCAUGGUUGUCGUCAGCUCGUGUCGUGAGAUGUUGGGUUAAGUCCCGCAACGAGCGCAACCCCUAUUGUUAGUUGCCAUCAUUCAGUUGGGCACUCUAGCGAGACUGCCGGUAAUAAACCGGAGGAAGGUGGGAUGACGUCAAAUCAUCAUGCCCCUUAUGACCUGGGCUACACACGUGCUACAAUGGUUGGUACAACGAGUUGCGAGUCGGUGACGGCGAGCUAAUCUCCUAAAGCCAAUCUCAGUUCGGAUUGUAGGCUGCAGCUCGCCUACAUGAAGUCGGAAUCGCUAGUAAUCGCGGAUCAGCACGCCGCGGUGAAUACGUUCCCGGGCCUU
rnacentral:rRNA from 1 species